rnacentral:rRNA from 1 species
GACAGGUGGUGCAUGGUUGUCCGUCCAGCUCGUGUCCGUGAGAUGUUGGGUUGAAGUCCCGCAACGAGCGCAACCCUUGAUCUUAGUUGCCAUCAUUAAGUUGGGCACUNUAAGGUGACUUGCCGGUGACAAACCGGAGGAAGGUGGGGAUGACGUCAAAUCAUCAUGCCCCUUAUGACCUGGGCUACACACGUGCUACAAUGGACAGUACAAAGAGCUGCAAGACCGCGAGGUGGAGCUAAUCUCAUAAAACCGUUCUCAGUUCGGAUUGUAGGCUGCAACUCGCCUACAUGAAGCUGGAAUCGCUAGUAAUCGAGGAUCAGCAUGCCGCGGCGAAUACGCUCCCGGGCCUUGUACACACCGCCCGUCACAUCCACGAGAGUUUGUAACACUCCGAAGUUCGGUGGGGUAACCUUUUUGGAGCCAGCCGCCUAAG